rnacentral:rRNA from 1 species
AUUGAACGCUGGCGGCAUGCCCUACACAUGCAAGUCGAACGGCAGCACGGGGCAACCUGGUGGCGAGUGGCGAACGGGUGAGUAAUGCAUCGGAACGUACCUUUCAGUGGGGGAUAACGUAGCGAAAGUUACGCUAAUACCGCAUAUUCUGUGAGCAGGAAAGCAGGGGAUCGCAAGACCUUGCGCUGAUUGAGCGGCCGAUGUCAGAUUAGCUAGUUGGUGAGGUAAAGGCUCACCAAGGCGACGAUCUGUAGCGGGUCUGAGAGGAUGAUCCGCCACACUGGAACUGAGACACGGUCCAGACUCCUACGGGAGGCAGCAGUGGGGAAUUUUGGACAAUGGGGCAACCCUGAUUCAGCCAUGCCGCGUGAGUGAAGAAGGCCUUCGGGUUGUAAAGCUCUUUCGGCCGGGAAGAAAUCGCACGGGCUAAUACCCUGUGUGGAUGACGGUACCGGAAUAAGAAGCACCGGCUAACUACGUGCCAGCCGCCGCGGUAAAAC